GGCCGAGCAUGCUGCGGCCGAGCGCACCCUGGCUCUUGGAGAGCCGGCCGCGCAGGCGUUCGAGCCGCCCCUCGGCGG
rnacentral:tRNA from 1 species